UUGACCUCGGAUCAGGUAGGGAUACCCGCUGAACUUAAGCAUAUCAAUAAGCGGAGGAAAAGAAACCAACAGGGAUUGCCCUAGUAACGGCGAGUGAAGCGGCAACAGCUCAAAUUUGAAAUCUGGCGUCUCCGGCGUCCGAGUUGUAAUUUGUAGAGGAUGCUUCUGGGCAGCCACCGGUCUAAGUUCCUUGGAACAGGACGUCAUAGAGGGUGAGAAUCCCGUAUGCGACCGGACAGGCACCCUCCACGUAGCUCCUUCGACGAGUCGAGUUGUUUGGGAAUGCAGCUCUAAAUGGGAGGUAAAUUUCUUCUAAAGCUAAAUACCGGCCAGAGACCGAUAGCGCACAAGUAGAGUGAUCGAAAGAUGAAAAGCACUUUGGAAAGAGAGUUAAAAAGCACGUGAAAUUGUUGAAAGGGAAGCGCUUGCAACCAGACUUGCUCGCGGUGUUCCGCCGGUCUUCUGACCGGUCUACUCGCCGCGUUGCAGGCCAGCAUCGUCUGGGGCCGCCGGAUAAGACUUUGGGAAUGUAGCUCCUUCGGGAGUGUUAUAGCCCAUCGUGAUGCGGCGCGUCCCGGGCGAGGUCCGCGCUUCGGCUAGGAUGCUGGCGUAAUGGUUGUAAGCGGCCCGUCUUGAAACACGGACCAAGGAGUCUAACAUCUAUGCGAGUGUUCGGGUGUCAAACCCCUACGCGUAAUGAAAGUGAACGGAGGUGGGAACUUUUUGUGCACCAUCGACCGAUCCUGAUGUCUUCGGAUGGAUUUGAGUAAGAGCAUAGCUGUUGGGACCCGAAAGAUGGUGAACUAUGCCUGAAUAGGGUGAAGCCAGAGGAAACUCUGGUGGAGGCUCGCAGCGGUUCUGACGUGCAAAUCGAUCGUCAAAUUUGGGUAUAGGGGCGAAAGACUAAUCGAACCAUCUAGUAGCUGGUUCCUGCCG
rnacentral:rRNA from 1 species